GACGAAGGGGGCUCGCGUUGUUCGGAAUUACUGGGCGUAAAGCGCGUGUAGGCGGUUGUCCAAGUUUGAUGUGAAAGCCUUGAGCUUAACUCAAGAAAUGCAUUCAGGACUGGAUGACUAGAGGACCGGAGAGGAUAGUGGAAUUCCCAGUGUAGUGGUGAAAUACGUAGAGAUUGGGAAGAACACCAGUGGCGAAGGCGACUCACUGGACACAUAUUGACGCUGAGGUGCGAAAGCGUGGGGAGCAAACAGG
rnacentral:rRNA from 1 species